CGUAUUUGCAAGACAUCGCUCGUUUAUCAAGUUAAAAUGUAUUGGAAAUGUUUGCUCAUCUUGCAGAACACUCACGGAACAAGUUACCCGCAAUCCAAGGUUUGACUGUAUAAUCUCUACGUUCUCAAAGACC